ACACACUGAACACACAUUCACAGAGUUG
rnacentral:piRNA from 1 species